rnacentral:tRNA from 1 species
UAGGCGGACGCUUGUUGGCUUGAGCGCUUAGCUGUUAACUAAGAUUUUGUGGGAUCGAGACCCUCCCGUCUAG